AUGUUCACUUGGGAAGCACAUAUACUAAAAAUUGGAACGAUACAGAGGAGAUUAGCAUGCCCCUUGCAUAAGGAUGACACGCAAAUUCGUGAAGUAUUCCUUAGUCCU
ensembl:snRNA U6 U6 spliceosomal RNA